rnacentral:misc_RNA from 1 species
AACGCACAUUGCGCCCUUUGGCAUUCCGAAGGGCAUACCUGUUCGAGCGUCAUUUCAACCGUCAAGCUUGGCUUGGUGUUGGGCGUUUUGUCCCGCUGCAUGCGCGGACUCGCCUCAAAAGAAUCGGCGUCUGCAUGUGGGCCUGAUGCGUAGUAAAAUUCGCAGACCAGGCUGGCGUGCUGGCGGCCGGAACGCACUAUAUCUUUUUGUUUGACCUCGGAUCAGGUAGGGAUACCCGCUGAACUUAA